GACGAACGCUGGCGGCGUGCCUAAUACAUGCAAGUCGAACGCAGUGGGGACGGGUGAGUAACAAGUGGGUAACCUCCCAUCAGAGGGGAUAACACUUGGAAACAGGUGCUAAACCGAUACUGAUGGAUGGACCCGCGGUGCAUUAGCUAGUUGGUGAGGUAACGGCGCACGAAGUCCACGAUGCCUAGCCGAGCGUAUAUGGUGAUCGUCCACAUUGGGACUGAGACACGGCCCAGACUCCUACGGGAGGCAGCAGUAGGGACUCUUCGGCAAUGGACGAAAGUCUGACCGAGCAACGCCGCGUGAGUGAAGAAGGUUUUCGGAUCGUAAAGCUCUGUUGUUAGAGAAGCGGUAUAUAACCAGAAAGCCACGGCUAACUACGUGCCAGCUGCCGCGGUAAUAC
rnacentral:rRNA from 1 species